rnacentral:lncRNA from 1 species
GUAAGGACUGAGAUUUUUUUUUACAGUGCAACUAAACUCUCUGUUGACGAUGUUUAUGUGUGUAAUUUAAUUACAUAAGCACUCGUCAAGUUUCAGGAGAAAAUGAGCUAAAACGGAGAAGUUACGCGAUUAUUAGUUUUCACUUAAGUGAAUAGUAACUCCGGUUUUCCGGUAAAGCCACGGAGUAGAGUUGGCUUCUGGUGCGUAUCGGACUCCGUUCACAUCAGUCCAAUAGCUCAUUUCGAAGGAUUCAGCUAUUCUGGAACUACUGGCGCUGACGGAUUUUGAGUUUGACGCACGGAUUUCGAGAAAAUCCAAAAAUACAUGUUUUAUAUGUAUUUUGUGUGUUUCUUUCGAUUGGAACGAAAGGUUGGAUUUUGUCGUGAAUCCGUGGUCGAUCGAGACGAAUCGAAAUCGUAGCUCUGUUGUCUCCGAGGUGCUGAUCGCACUGGUGCAAUCCAUUCGCAAAUCUGACGGACGGAUCUACGGAGAUCGCGCGUUGAUCGAGGAGAGGUCGGUGUUGGCAAAACGGUAAUUUCGCAAAAGUCGCGACAUUUUAUGUACCGUUUCGCGUGAAAUCGCACGUAGAGGGGUAUUCGCGCGUUUUACUUGUGCUGUGAGGGACUGGGUAAGAAAUACCAAGCUUAGGUAGACUUUUGUGCAAAAUUGCACUUUGUAUACAAUGUGCAUCUAGGGUUUCUAUGCACGAAACCCUAGAUCUGGCCGACCCUGUCCCCCAUCUGUGCCCUAGCCGACACCUCUGCAUCCGCGCCCUGCCCGUGCGCGCGCUCCGGCCACCUGAGCACGCCGCCGGCCGCCGGAGCUGGCUGCUCCUCCACCUCCUCCAUUGCUCCUUGCUUCACCAUCCUUCACCCCCACUUGUGCUGCUACCAGGGUGAACCCACACCCUCGGGUUUCACCUCUGACAGCAGGCCCGACCCCGGCGACCAUCUCUGUCGGCCGCCGCCACCCCGAGCGCCGCCGCCGCCGCCUUGGCAAUCCUGCGGCCAAGCUCGGGCAGAUCCGGCCGAGAUGGUUUGAUCUCCCUCUCCUCGCACCACCGCCGC